rnacentral:lncRNA from 1 species
GCCAGCCAAAAACCGGUUACACCGGAACCCCCGGGAGACCCAGCCGGAGGCGGUACGGACUCGGCCUAGGGCCGGCCUUCUCCCGCCGCCGGGACGGACGGCCGUCGGUGGGCCGCCAGUUUCCAGCUUCCACUAGAAAUAGUGUGGAAGUAAAGGAGCGCCGGCUCCGGGAAGUAAUGAAGAGACUUACCAGCCAGAAGGGUAGCCAGCGCAUGUCGGAGGUAGACGAAAGGGUUAAGCGCGACGGUUUCCAGCACCGAUUCCGAGUGGGAAGGUUGGAGGUCGUCCGAGCCGAGUCUUUUCCUUUUUUCGGAUGAUGGCGUCCACCAACCGGUAAAUCAAGGUUAGCUUCUUCAUUUACUCCACCGAUUUCGCUAUCGGUCGGUAGGUAGGCUGGGCCGGCACCCGAAGGCUCCCGUUAAAACUGGCCGCCCGGGAAUUUUUCCCACACCGGCUCGACGGGUUUUCCCGACAUCUUCGGCCAUCCGGGAAAAGCCGAUGGGUCCGGACGACGGUAGCCACCGGUUGGGUCCGGACGGUGUUGGCGGCGCUCCGGCCGGGAAGACCGACGGGAGGCGGGCUAACCGGAUUACUCUUUCUAGUCGGACGGAACCGAAGAUAAGCACGGUGGACGGGCGGCCGGUAGCCAGCCUAACUGCCGUAGCUAAUCGAUCAGACGGCGCUAGUGGGUCCCGUACGGUUCGGAAGGGACUACCGGCUACCUCGGCGCACCAAACUGGCCAAAAUGUUAUGGCCACUUAAAGCUAAGACCAAUCGGUGGCACCACCAGUCGAUACACCCCUAUAGCCGCCCGUUGGACCGGGCGGUUUCCGUAUAGCCCAGGGGUCGGCAACCUUUCUGGAGUUAAGAGUCAUUUUUUUCCCGAUGUGAUAAAUUAUUUUUAUAAAGAGCCAAAUAUAAGUACAUACAUCGAUAAUAUGUUUUUUAGAAGGUACCUAAAACUUUCGCC